rnacentral:misc_RNA from 1 species
AGUUAAUAUUUAUUUAAUAAUAUAUUGGUUAAACCCUGAUUCAACUUUAAAACCUUAACACACUGCAUUCAGCAGUUAUUUAUAAGAUAAAUGUAAAUAAUUAAAUUUCUUUGAAAACCUUAACCCAUAACAAGGUUCGUGUUUGAAAACCUUGUUAUUUAUAUUUGAAUGACCAAAUUUCUUUUGAAUUGUAACAUAUUAUCAUAUUCGUUAUCCAUUUUUCCUUUAGUGGCAUUUCUUAUAGUGAUUAUUACAGUUUAGUCUGCCAAGAUUCCACUAUUCACAUUUAUUUUAUGAAUAACUGCUGAUGCCACUGAUAUAUACUAUUUGUAUGAAUAUCCCAACUUGAAGCAUAUUGAGAUUGAAGAAAAUAAUGUAAUGCUGCAUUUGCAUUCUGCUGGUUUUUCU